rnacentral:snRNA from 1 species
CUGCUCAUUUAGGCAGUACAUAUACUAAACUUGGAAUGACAGAGAAAAUUAGCAUGACCCCUGCGCAAAGAUGACACACAAACUUGCGAAGUGUUCCCCAUUUUA